rnacentral:rRNA from 1 species
UACGUAGGGGGCAAGCGUUGUCCGGAAUCAUUGGGCGUAAAGCGCACGUAGGCGGAUCGUUAAGUCGGGGGUGAAAUCCCAGGGCUCAACCCUGGAACUGCCUUCGAUACUGGCGAUCUUCGAGUCCGGGAGAGGUGAGUGGAACUCCGAGUGUAGAGGUGAAAUUCGUAGAUAUUCGGAAGAACACCAGUGGCGAAGGCGGCUCACUGGCCCGGUACUGACGCUGAGGUGCGAAAGCGUGGGGAGCAAACAGG